AUCUGGGUGAGCAGGCAGCGGACAAGUGACGUCUCCCGGCCUGCUGCCCCAGGCCCCCCACAAGUCGCGUUCUGGGGCCGUGGCCUCCCCAGAGCAGAUCAAUGGGGGCUGUGUGAGCAACACGGGGGGCAGCUGGGCAGCGCCUCCCUGGAGGCCCCUAUGAAAUCCCGCCGGAUGCUGGCAGGCUCCAAGGGGGCUGGACACCAUCUUCUCAGGGCCCUGCAGGGAAGCGUGGAAAGGCGGCACAGGGCUGGACCCAGAGGAGCUCUCAGAUGCUGGACUGGACUGUUUCAGGGGUCAUCUAGCCCAUUCCCCGCCUCCAGGCGAGGAUUUGCCUGAGCCUGGAAAGACGAAGGAUCCUCCCAGUGCCGUCAAGUCCCGGAUUCCACCUCCCUGUAGGUGGACUGCCAGCGCAGGCCCUGACAACGCAGAGAAAGACACAGGACCCAGCUGGGCCAGUGACAGCAGGAGCUCCUGGUGCCGCAGGAAUGGAAACUGUGACUCAUAAUAGUCAGCCAGCCAGUCAAUGAUUAUCCCCCCCAGGCCCUGGCGCAUCAAGAUUUGCUG
rnacentral:lncRNA from 1 species